GCAAGUAUAGUUUAACCUAAACAUUAGCCUGUGAUCCUAAAGACAGAAGUUAACUUCUUCUUACCUGCCGAGGGGAGGU
rnacentral:tRNA from 1 species